rnacentral:lncRNA from 1 species
UCAUUCUUCCAAGACGGCAACGACUUUUAAGUGCACCCAUUAAGAUCAGAGCACCCUAAAGAAAAUGACAUUUCAAUUACUUGCUUCGCGUUACACGAACAUUUAGUUCAAAUAAAACCACAAUUGGCACUCAAAACAUAAAUCACUGUUGCUAGCUGAAUUCUUGCAUGAUACCCACCAUGAUGAAUUAUGGAGAUGAGUUUUCCUUUGAAGCAAGAGUAGUUGAAGAGGGAGAUGAUGGAGCUGCUUAUCUUCCAAGCCUAUGGGGGAAGAGUAAUAAUCGUGUCAUGAGUUCAUAUGAAUCAUCUCCUUUGCUGUCUCGUGAUCAUCAGUACAGUAAUCUUUCGCCGCGGUCGCGAUUGCAGCGAAUUGUAGAGGCAAGAAAAGAGCUCAUGGAGAUGAUUCAGGAUAUGCCAGAUAGCAGCUAUGAACUCUCAUUGAAAGAUAUGGUUGAUGAGCAUCAGCUGCAGCAAAGAAUUCAUCAUCGUGAAGAAGAGGACUAUAAGGAGAAUGAUAAUUUGGUUGCUGAUCGUGAGAGAAGCUUUCGUUUCCAAACCGAAGCUCAAAUGAUCAAGAAGCAGCAGAAUAAUAAGAAGAAGAAGAAAACGAAGAUGCAAAGAAUGGAGUCAUUAGGUAGUACUUACAGUACUAAUAAAUUUUCAAGGUCUUCAAGCAUGGAUAGUGAAAUUUUCUUGAUCAAGAUGUUUUUUAUUCCAAGUUGUUUUGGUUCUACUAAGAAAAAAUCUAUAACCCCCAAAACUGGAUCCUCGAAGGUUUCUCCAAGAAGUUCAUGC